rnacentral:lncRNA from 1 species
UUUACAGCUAGGUAAGGCCUGGGGACAUGUGGAGUCAGCCAAGUCCCCUGGCUAUGCUGGAAAGUCAGACCUUAUCUGCACUUCUGACUGGUGUCUGUUCUAGGCUCCACACCUGGACACAAUUGGAGAAACUGGUUAUUUUACCAAGGCUUUGACUGGAAUGGCGUGCUUUCCUUUAAGGAAUCAAACUUGACUUAUAGAGCCAACCAAUAAAAGCCCCUUGGGAAAAGUGACCUCACACCUUGUCUAUGCAGUACCUGUACAGGGUUCCUGACCUGUGAUGUCAAAUUCCAGCAGAACAGCUGAUGCUAACCAGUUUGAAGACCCCCAGAGAGGAACAGAAUCAGCAUGAGAAUACAGCUUCUUCUUCAACCUGUCCCAUGACUUCACCCUGCACUCUAACCAAUGAAUGAUAUCUACACUUUGGCCCACUUCAAAACCUUUAAACGCCCUAACCCCACAAAUCCCUUAGGGAGUCAGAUUUGAGGUUUCCUCAUGUCUCGUCAUCUAGUGGCCCUACAAAUAAACCUCUUUCUCUACUGCAACCCAGUGUCUGUGCAUAUUGACUUGCUGUGGACAUGAGGCAAUAAACCUAUGACGGCUGCAUGCAUAAGCUUCUGUAUAAUGCUGCAAAAUGAAGAAAAAGUUUUGGUGGAUGCAGAAUGCAUGGCUCACAAUGGAACAAUCAC